AGGGUGGAGCUUAGCAACUUUCACUCACUGAAUAGGGCUGUCGAGUCAACUCGACAGUGGACUAAAGGACGGCUAAAAUGUGGUUAUGUGUUUGAAAAGGAUAUCGUGACCCUCGUGUGAGGGUUUAAAGUUCGAUAUUUUCAUCAGUUGAGACUCUCCGAUUAAACGACCGGGAACAUGAUGCGCUUCCUGCUCCUCUUCAGUCGCCAGGGCAAGUUGCGCUUGCAGAAAUGGUACACGCCCAUAUCUGAUCGAGAGAAGAAGAAGAUCAUCAGGGACAUGACCACAGCCGUGUUGGCACGGCAACCGCGUACCUGUAACUUCCUGCACUGGAAAGACCUGAAGAUUAUUUACAAAAGAUAUGCAAGUUUGUAUUUCUGCUUGGCAAUUGAGAGUCAGGAGAAUGAGCUGCUUGCUUUGGAAAUUAUUCAUCGCUACGUGGAGCUGCUGGACAGAUACUUUGGAAAUGUGUGUGAGCUCGACAUAAUCUUCAAUUUUGAGAAGGCCUAUUUUAUCUUGGAUGAGUUUCUGAUGGGAGGGGAAAUCCAAGAAACCUCCAAACAGAUUGUGAACCGCUGCAUUGAAGCCUCAGACAUGUUACAGGAGUGUCGUUUGUGAGCGAGAGCCAGAUUUUGCGUGGAAGAGGGUUGGCUGCGUAAGUUUAGCAACACUUCCCGCUCUUUUUAGGUCUGCGGCUCUGUGGUCAAGGCGUUUCUCUGGGAUGGCAGCAAUGAUUGGUAUGAGGUGGAGCUGUUUGGACCUUGAAUAUGGACAGACAGACAAUGGAGGAAUAUAUGAGCAAACCAGCAUUUUGACACAGGAAAAGGGACAAAGUAAGCUCAGGGCCUAAAUAUACAAAUAUGAAGACUACACCGAAACUUACUUCAUUCACAAGUAAAUAUUAAAUGAUUUGAUCUUGCACUUGUUUGAAAGUGACGGGUUUUACAGGUUUGCUGAACACCAUUAAUAUUGGAAUUUAAUCUUGUGGUAAUAUAUGAUGUAAUGUUUUUAAAAAAAUACAAUGUCAAACAACAUAAAGCACAUUCCUGAUUAAAUUGCUGAUGUACUUUUUAAUCUGUUUAAUCUCUAAUUGUGUCAUCUUUAUUUGGAUAGUUGUUGUUUGUGUGGCUUUCUAGCUUAUAAUUAAAUGU